rnacentral:ncRNA from 1 species
UGUCUUCAAGGCAGGGUGAAAAUCCCUACCGGCGGUAAAGCCCGCAAGCCCUAUGGCACGAUCCGGUGUGAUUCCGGAGCCGACAGUAUAGUCUGGAUGAGAGAAGAU